CAGGCCUAAACAUGCAAGUCGAACGAGAAGCCCGGCUUCGGUCGGGUGGACAGUGGCAACGGGUGAGUAACGCGUGGGAACGUACCCUUUGGUUCGGAACAACUCCGGAAACUGGAGCUAAUACCGGAUGUGCCCUUCGGGGGAAAGAUUUAUCGCAAGGGAUCGGCCCGCGUCGGAUUAGCUUGUUGGUGGGGUGGUGGCCUACAAGGCUAUGAUCCGUAGCUGGUCUGAGAGGAUGAUCAGCCACACUGGGAUGAGACACGGCCCAGACUCCUACGGGAGGCAGCAGUGGGGAAUAUUGGAAAUGGGCGCAAGUCUGAUCCAGCCAUGCCGCGUGAGUGAUGAAGGCCCUGGGUUGUAAAGCUCUUUCGCCAGGGACGAUAAUGACGGUACCUGGAUAAAAGCCCGGCUAACUUCGUGCCAGCAGCCGCGGUAAU
rnacentral:rRNA from 1 species